GACGAACGCUGGCGGCGUGCUUAACACAUGCAAGUCGUACGGUAAGGCCCUUUCGGGGGUCCACGAGUGGCGAACGGGUGAGUAACACGUGAGUAACCUGCCCACAACUUUGGGAUAACGCUAGGAAACUGGUGCUAAUACUGGAUAUGUGCUCCUGCUGCAUGGUGGGGGUUGGAAAGCUCCGGCGGUUGUGGAUGGACUCGCGGCCUAUCAGCUUGUUGGUGGGGUAGUGGCCUACCAAGGCGGCGACGGGUAGCCGGCCUGAGAGGGUGACCGGCCACAUUGGGACUGAGAUACGGCCCAGACUCCUACGGGAGGCAGCAGUGGGGAAUAUUGCACAAUGGGCGCAAGCCUGAUGCAGCAACGCCGCGGGCGGGAUGACGGACUUCGGGUUGUAAACCGCUUUCAGCAGGGACGAAGCUUUUUGUGACGGUACCUGCAGAAGAAGCACCGGCUAACUACGUG
rnacentral:rRNA from 1 species